rnacentral:rRNA from 1 species
CUUAUGCGUUGUUGGGUAGGGGAGCGUUCUGUAAGCCUGUGAAGGUGUGCUGUGAGGCAUGCUGGAGGUAUCAGAAGUGCGAAUGCUGACAUAAGUAACGAUAAAGCGGGUGAAAAGCCCGCUCGCCGGAAGACCAAGGGUUCCUGUCCAACGUUAAUCGGGGCAGGGUGAGUCGACCCCUAAGGCGAGGCCGAAAGGCGUAGUCGAUGGGAAACAGGUUAAUAUUCCUGUACUUGGUGUUACUGCGAAGGGGGGACGGAGAAGGCUAUGUUGGCCGGGCGACGGUUGUCCCGGUUUAAGCGUGUAGGCUGGUUUUCCAGGCAAAUCCGGAAAAUCAAGGCUGAGGCGUGAUGACGAGGCACUACGGUGCUGAAGCAACAAAUGCCCUGCUUCCAGGAAAAGCCUCUAAGCAUCAGGUAACAUCAAAUCGUACCCCAAACCGACACAGGUGGUCAGGUAGAGAAUACCAAGGCGCUUGAGAGAACUCGGGUGAAGGAACUAGGCAAAAUGGUGCCGUAACUUCGGGAGAAGGC